rnacentral:lncRNA from 1 species
GUCAGUCGCGUCAGUAUAACCAUUCGAAAAGGAAGUUCACAAUAACAUACAAAAUAUUGCAUUGCUCUAUCUCUAUAUUGUUCUAGUAACGUACACAGUUAUUUAAAAAAAAAAAUAACUUGAAACAAAAUUUAUAUCAUAUUAGAAUAGUAGUUACAAUAGCAAAAUAUUAUUAAAUAGUCCUUGACGACCGAAAGAGGAAGACGCGACAAAUUUCUGAAGACUUGAACGAACAGGUAUGAACGAUAAUAUUAUUAAUACUUUUAAUUUUUUUAAAUUCAAUAUAUCGUUACAAUUAAUAUUUGACUAUAGGUGUACAAGAUUAUAAUAUGUAUCAAAAAAUAUUAAUUUAAAUUUACAUAAAUAUGAUAUAUGCUAUCGAUCCCCAAAAAUUUUCAUAUUUUAAAUACCUAUAAUAACAAUAUUUUUCUGAUUUAAUUGUAUCAAGUUUUACAACUUAUUUUCCUUAUUUUCCCCUACCCUCUUGUCCAAUUAUUUGGUGUUGACUGUUUGCUCUAUAAGUAUCUAUAAGUAACUAUCUACCUAUAAGUAUGCUGGUAUUCAUUUUUUACAAAAAUACGUAAUUUAUUUUUUCUUUUAUUGAGUAGUAAAAAAAAAUAAAACACCAUUUAUCAAGAGUAUACUGGCUAUACUCGAAUAAUUGUUAUUAUAAAAUUAUUAUCACGCGUCGAAUAAUUUCGAUACGUACAACUCUGCUGUGCAGUAGAGUAAUAAUUACCAAAAAUAAUUCUUGGCGAGUAUUAUAAUAAUAUAUUAAUUUGUAAAGGUAUAGUCUUGGUAUAGACUCAGGUAACGGUUAAAUCGCGGUAUUAUAAUAUAUAUAUAUAGAGAGAAUACACGUUCAUACAUUAUACGAUUCAUGUGAUGGUAUAUGUUGGUCUCUGAGAUGAGGUCGUCGUCGGUGAGAUGAUUUCACCGCACUUUCUCUCGACAACUAUGCGUCAUAGGCAUAAAUAUCGGUUCCAAUUACAAAGUGAAAUUUCUACUAGGUUGGAACAUACCGUCUGCUUGUACGCCGCAGUCAAGUUUGAGAGCACAUUAUUAUUAAUAUCUAUUGAUGUGAUAUAUACAUUAUAAUUUAUAGGUAGGUAUAUUAUAAUAUUAUACUCGAUGAAUACCACCGGUUGUAUACCUAUUUUAAAUUUAGAGGGGGGGGGGUACAGUGUCAUUUUUCUACCAAAGAACUUUUUUUUUAUUAGAUAGAUACUCGUAUUUUAUUAUAAUUUAAUUCCGUCCUGAAAAUGAUCCCCGAAUUCAAUCGCUACCAUUCGUAUGUUAUUUUACAAGUGGCUAUGUGAAGGUGUGACUGAGUUCUAAUAAGUUAGAAUAAUAGAAUGUGGCAUAUAGAGGACGAGAAUAAAAUUCGCGUGUAAGUAAAGGCAACGAUUAUGACGAAUAUAAGUUAUAUUGCAGUAUAUUUCAGAGGUGUCCUUGAGUGGGCAAAGAGGAAAUUUGAUUUUUCUCAUGUGUCGUAUUAUAUUCCAUACUUAUAACACUAAAUAUUUAUAAUUUUUCAAUCCUAAUUUAUAAAAUAUUUUAAUAUAUUUUCUAUCCUCCAGUGAAAUUGAUCUGAAUGUAUUUGACUUAAUUUCGGUUCGAUCUUAAGUUACACUCGCAUAUUAUUUCAAAUUCUGAGUGUAUCGACUUAUAUGCGAAUUUUUCAUUCGGUCGUUCACUUUAUAUGGAAAAAAUCGUCUAGAUCCCAGACAGGUUUUCUGAAGAAUUAAAAUAAUUGGCGACAAAUAACGGCUAUAUCGAUUUUAUCUUUGUCGAUUUCUAAAUUAGAAAUCGCAAUUACAAGUGGAAAAAUACAACUUCUGAGCUCCUAUCAGAAUCGUUUUGUGAUUGCGAUGAUGGUUCACUAUCGGUUUCGGCAAAUAAACUAAAUAUUACCAUAUAUUCUAUUAUGACUGUAUAGUGUAUAAUAUAGGUAUAUCUUCUAAACUUUCAAUCUGCAGACAACGACUACGACGGUGGGAAGUAUGUCCGGUGUUAUCUUUGUUAUUGCUGUUGUUAUCAUUAUUUUUUGCUAUUACGAAUAAGCAAAUUGUAUUAAGUAGGUAUACCAAAUUAUAAUAUAUUAAAUGUCUUAUAUACACAUUGUUUGUAUACACGGUUUGAGGAAGUGUACUUGUAUAAAGGUCCGUCGCUAGGGUACAAGUAAGUCAUGCAUUGCUUUAGGGAGGCAUACAAUUUUAAAGAAAUUGAAGCGACAAAAUUAAAUUAAUUAUCGUAAAAAAAAAACCAGCAAUACAAUUUUCGUUUUAGGGCGGAAAAUGACUUACGAUGGGCCUGCAUAUGUAUUAUAUUAUAGCAUACAAAAACAAUGACGGUGCACGGACAUGAAAAAGUAUGUAAAUGAAAGUGUAUAACUGACCGGAUUGUGAAGUGGGUUACUUGGUUACUGUUGCGUAUGUGCGUGACACUGUAUAUAAUAUUAUUAUAUCGCAUGGUAAUUGUGGUCAAGGUUAGGCGUGGGCCACUUUUGGACAACGGUUGCCAUAGAAUCGUCGUCGUCCGGAUUCAUUCGACACAAUUAUUUUAACAACGACCACCGUUCUUAAUGUGUUUUGUAGGCUAGAAACUAUCAGACACUACGUAUACGAAUGAUGCGGCGUGCCGGUAUGCAUAUUAAAUAUUUCUUCCAUAUUUCCCACUCCUGUUUUACUUCUUUUACAACAAAUAUUUACUAUCGGCAAUAACGAGUAUUAAAAAAGUCCUAUACGGCAGAUAAUUGUGCCAUUGAUUAAGGAGAGAAGUUGGAAAGGAAGGUAAAUAGAGUUAUUUAAUUUAUGUUUGUAUGCUAUGAUAAAUCAUUACAAACAAAAAAACAAUCUUGAGGAGAGUAUUAAUAUUAGUACUAUUUUUCCUCUAGUUGCUAACGUAACCCGGAAACAACAACAAUUAUACAAAAAAAUGCCAGUUUUUCUCUUUUGUUAAGAAAACAAAAAACAAAAUAAUAACCUCCCCAAUGCACCAAUUAGAUCAAAAUUUAUAUGAGGAAGCUCCUAUACAGUUAUUGAUUGAAGUAAGAUUUCUGGUAGAAAUUAUUUGCAGACAAUAAAAAAAAUACACACCAUAGUAAACCAAUAUAUUCCUCGUUUUACUCAGAAUCUAAAAAUCUGAAUUUUAUAUAAUACCAUAUAAAUAAUACAUAAUGUACAGUAUAAUUGAUUCUCUGAAAAAUAUUUAUUUUAUUUUUAAUUUCGAGAGCGACCGUAAUGAAUCCGUUAUAUUUAAAAAAACUCGGUCUCUUUCUAUAAUAUUCUCGGUAAUUAUCGGUGGUUUUACAAUUCAAAAAUUCCAUUUAACUUCAAUAUUACAAAGCCUGUAGACUUUUUGAGCUUUAUAAUUUCUAUACAGUACCAACAUUUGUUUUCGGAAUUUAAAACCAAUAUAAUAACAUAGAUAAUAUUAUUUAUUAUAGCUCCUUAGAAUCUAAAAUGUCUGCCAUUAUUAAUGUUAAACGGUUAUUUUUUUUAAAACUUUACGUCGAUAUGGGAACUACGGUAAAACACAGCAUUUGACUCUCUUAUUAAAUAUCAUUAGUACCUGAACGCAUUAAUAAUUUGACUAUCAACUACUAUAUAAUCAAUGCUUUAAUAUUUUUUGUAAAAAGGAUCGAAAAUGUUCGUUAACAAUAGUUUAUCGUUGUUUGCAGAUAUAUACAUUGCAUUUCUCUUCUACUACAUUCCUAACUUGUCAUCUACAACAGUGGCCCAACCCACGUACGAAGUUGUCUGACUUAUAGAUUCUGAGUAUAGCGAAAAAUAUAUUGGUUUUACUAUGAUGUUUCUUUUUUUUUUUUCUUUUUUUAUACCGUGUACAAAAAUUCGACCAAAAAUCUUCGUCAGAUAUUUACGCACGGCAACAUUUCUGUGAGGAAACAUUAUCCAGAUGGUACUUUUGGGAAGUAAUUUUUUGCGGUUUACUUAAUAUCUGAGGAAAACCAGGAUAAAAUGUAAGAAAAACGGGAAAUUUAUGAAAAUAAUGUUUUUAUUAUUUUUCAAUUUUGUUUAUUAAGAAUCAAAUUAAAUUAAUUUGAUUAUAUUAUUUUCUAGUGUAAUACGUUUACUGUGUCUAUCUAUUGCUUUAUUAAUCACAAAUUCACAAUAACUAUGUUUUAAAACAAAAAUAAUUUGAGAAUUAUGCGGCCAAAUAGAGCGGCGGUAAAAUGGGAUUAAUUUGACGGGGAAGUGGAGCAGCGGCGAAAUAAAACGCCGACAAACAGGAUACGACCUUAUAAUGCGAAAAUCGCUGUGUUAAUUAGAAUGGUAGUAAUAUUAUCUUUUGUUUUCGGACUAGUUUUACGGUGGGAUCCAUUGUUUGAGAGAGAAUACGGCCUAUUUUUACGGCAAGUAGUUUUUGAUAUUUAUUUAAAUUAUAACGACCGUGCGUUAUACGAAGCAUAAGAAUAAUUCGUAUAAUAUGCGAAUAUUUUAUUAUUAUAGACAGCUAUAAAAAACAAUAUGUAUUUAUGUAUUUAUGAACAUAAGAAUAUAUGACACACAGAUUAUAAAUACUUACAAUAAUUUAUUGUAAUAUAAAAUAUAUACAUACAUAUAUAUAUAUAUAUAUUAUUUUAUCACCAUAGUCACAUGUACAAUCAGAUCGUCCAUGAUUUGAAAAAUUAUCUGAAAAAAAAGAAUUAUUAUCCGCGUCUAUUUUUCAUUUUAAAACAAUCGAUUUGACACGGUUUUACUUUAUAGAUAGGAUUGCCUACGUUUAUUAUAUUAUUUUAUAUUAUAUGUAUAUAUAGGCACAUGCGUGUAUUUACUUUCUAAGCGUCUAGACUACUAUAAUACGCGCGGGACAAUACGAUAAAAAACCAAUAAUUCCAAAACAUCAUCACGGAUAGAAAAAUUUUUUUAAUAAGAUAUCAUUAUUAUAAUACGAGUUUCACGGUCUAAUGCCAAAACCGCGACGAAAGUGUGCCUAUAAUAUUUUCUUUCACUACUUAUACUUAUCGCGGAACACGAUCGCAUUUUUGUUGGGCACCGAUAUUAUUGUUAUUCUCUGUAUCUAAGGAAUCGAUUCGAAUGACAUACCUUACCGUAAUAGCCGUAUACCUACUUCUAUAUAACAAUUACCUGACCCAUACAACGAACAACGUUUUGCCAUUAGAAUAAUAUGUCUACCAUUAAUAAUACUACCUUCGAUGUGAUGUCUAUAGACAUACUUUAUUUUACAAUAUACAUUAUAAAUACCAUACUAUUAUAAUACACGAUGCGAUUUUCAGUAGAAAAUCGUAGACGAUUACAGCCGUUUGGCCGUAAAAAUUCCAAGAUUAGGUUAAUAUAAAAUGAACCCGGUAAAUUAUUGAUGGGUACUGCUGCAACUUCAGUUGUUGAAUUCGAAAAACCCCCGGGAAUCCCCUUUGAAAACAAUGUCUACGAUUUAGCUACAAGUUUAUAACCAUAAGGUUUUGCCCCGGAUUCUACCAAAUGUUUUUGAAAAGUUUCGGUGCCUAAAUUGUAAAUAAAUACGAAUAAAAAUAAUUUUCAAAUUCUGAACGCAACAAAAAAUGUGUUAGUUUUAAUUUGUGAGCUCGUUUUGUUACAUUCUGUUAGCUACUUUUCUAGCAGAAAUAUUGAUCUGAUUUACAAAUAUUUCUUUCCUGGAAGAAAUUUUUGGCUAAUUAAUGCAUUAGAUUCUAAUAAUUAGAAGGUUGGUUUUUGAUUUUCCUUGCAAAUUUCUUAAUAUUUUACGGCAAUAACGAUUAGGUUAUAUAUUCACUCUGAAAUAUUCACAACAUACUUAUAAAGUAUAAAGCCUUUUAAAGAUGUGAUAAUAUUGUUAAAAUACUUUUACAAUAUUUAAGCAAUUUAUAAGCAUUGGAAAUUUUCGAGAGUUUUUAGUUUUUAAUAUUAUUUAAUUUUUAGGUUUUAUGUGAAUACAAUUGUUUUGGCCAACCAGAAAAGCUUGAAAUUUAACAUAAGGUACAUCAUAGGUUGUACUUAAUAAUCAAAAAACAAAUUGUUAAAUGCAAUGUAAUUUUAUAGCUUAAAUUUUGACGAAAAUAGUAAAAAUCACGGCAUUUAUAAACAUGUUUAACCGAACUUCCCUGAGAAUCGUAUUUCUUUAGUAAUGAUUUAUCAUUACGUAUAGAUAGAAAUAUAGUAACAAAUAUACAAAUAUAUAAAUAUAGUAACAUUCUAUGAAUCUUACCUUCCCGACUUCCUUACUACAAAAGUGGCACAGCUCCCACAUCUACUCUUUUUUUGAUAAGAAGUAAUUCAUUGAAAUCCGUUAGCAAAUUAUCAGCUAUUAUAAUCGCGAUAUAUUAUUAUUAAUAACGCAUAGCCAUUGUGAUCAGGGUCAUUGACGUAUACCUAUAUACUUACAUAUUAUACCUAUACCUACAGUUGACUUGUGAAAUGCACAAGGUUUUUGAACUCUAAAAAAUAAUUAUUAAUAUAUUAUUUAUAAGACAAAACGUAUUAUAAGUUAGAAAGUUGGACAAAUGCAUUGGAUAAUAAUAUUAUCGUAUAAAACCGGUUCACUGAUAUAUCGCACAUUUGAGUGCCUAUAUUAUAUAUAUAUUUAUAUAUAUAUAUAUAUUUUGUAACAGCGUGAAAAUAUAAGAAAUAUAACGGUUCUAAUAUAUUGUAUUGUGAUUUGUUAAAUGAUAAUAUAUACAAAGAUGAACGAAUAGAAAUGUGUAUGACGUCUUACAUAUUUACUGCCACAAUAGUUUAACUAGUGAUUCGUAACGGGGAGGUACCGCCUCCCAUGUAGAAUUUUGGUCUCCCAAAGGAAAAUAGAUUUGAAGAGCUUUUAUUUAAAUUUAGAAUACUGACUCAUAUACAUAUGAUAAUUUUCCCUAUUUUUAUUUAUAAAAAAACAAAACAAUAAUGUUAUUAAUUAUUGUGGAUAGACAAAAAAAUCACAUUUUCGAAAUUCUUCUUAGUGUUAUAUACGCUAUUUAGGCUCAUUGCUGUAAUAACCACUCAUCUUUAACGGUUUUUCACCUUUGCUAAUUUUUCCCUGUUCUCUAUUUAAAGCUCUUUCAAGUCAUUGACCACUAGGGUGGUCCUUAUUAACUAAUAAAACAAUUAUGCCUCCCUCGAAAUCUUUUCCAAAUAGAAAAAUAAAAAUUUCCAAAUUUGGACAUUUUAUCUUAUAAUUAAUUAAUAUUAAGGGGUGCUAGCGAGCACUUUAUUUUGCAUUAAAACAAAACAACAUGAAAUUUCAAAAAAAUCUUUGAUAACUUUUUUUCAGACUUAUAAAAAUUAUGAAAAAAAAAAUUGAAUACUGUGCAAAAACCAUGUGUUUAUGUCGAAUAUUUUUUACAUCUCCAACAAAAAAUCAUAUGCAUCGAAAACGAAAAUUAUUCAAUUAAAAAAAAAAAUGAAUCGAUUUAGCCGAUAUAAUCAGGAUUCCAUGUAUUAUUAUGUGGAUUUUUAUUUAAAUGUUAAUGAAAAAAAUAGAUCACUAUUUAUUAACUAGAAAUCAUUGAAAUUAUUUGAAAAAUUUGAAAUAAAUCAAGAAUUCAAAAAUCCUUCUCUAUGGGCUGAAGAUAAAUUCUUUCAAGAAAGAUCAAAUAUUAGGUAUUAGAAAAUUUAAAAUUGUCACUGAUACUGAACUUAAUUGGUUUUUUAGUUAAUGGAAAAUUAUAAUAAUAAUUUGACUAAGAACGAGGAUCAGAAGUAAUAUAUAAUGCAAAUAAUAUCCGAAUAUCGUAAACAGUUUCAGAGUUUAAAAAAACAAACAGUUAUGAAAACAUUUUCAUAAUAAACAUCACUGUACAAAUAGAUUUCAUUUUUUUUCAAUAAAAUACCGAUUAAUUAAUCAUUGUAGAAAAAAAAAUGACUGUUGUUACUUUUUUUUUUUUAUCAUAUCAAUAAUAGAAUUUUUAAUAUUUCUGCAAUUGAAAAAGAAAACUCUAAUCGAAAAUAAAGUAUCAAAUAAUAAAAUCCAAGCGCUCGCUAACACUCCUUAAUAUUAAGAUGGAAUGCCUAAAUUUGGAUAUGGUUUUUUUCACCUAUUUUGAAGAUUUCAGAGGAGGAACAAUAUUUGUUUUUUAGGAUCGUAUACGCAAGAUUCUUUCUUGGACAUAUACGACAAGAAAACACAAAAAAAGAUAAAGAUUAAGAUAUUUGAUUAUUGAUUUUUUAACAUCAACACAAACGAGUCUUCCAAAAACUGUUUAAACUGGCUGGGCUCGUUCUUCGGGGAUUUCCGUCCGAAGUCUCGAAGAAGAGUGAUUUUUAUAAUCUUUUUAAAUAAUUUUUUAUAAAAUAAACGCAUCAGCUCGCGACAGUAGCGCGCUGUCUCUUGUUACAGCCGGCGACCACAUAAUAUAUUUUGCUAAGUAGACGCACCUAUAAUAAAAUAUUUCAACAUAACAAUAAUAAUGCCGACGGUGACAAUCGUGUAAAACAUUAUUACAAUAUGUUGAGAUAUUUUAUUAUUAUAAUUGGUGCCUGGAUAUACUACAUUAGUAAAGGACCACCCUAUUAACCACUCUAUCCUUCGAUUUUUAUCUGGAACGUCUUGGUCUUUUUGUUUUUGGCUUCAAAACCUGUCUUGUUUGUAACCUGUCCAAUUUUAUCGUUUCACGUGUUCAGCCCAGCUCAACAUACUACUUUUUAGGGUCCUAUUGAUAUUUUCUUCUCUGUACAGGUCUUGAAUCCUCUUUAUCUUUAUCUUUAUACUAAAUUCUCCAAAGUAUUAAUUUUGGGUCUAUAUAUAUAUAUCUUAAUACCUUUCGUUCAAAAGUCGCUAGAUCAAGUUCACCUGACUUUUAUGUGGUCUAUGCACCAUACACAUACAAAGCAAUUGGUAUCACUAGAACUUUGAAAAGAGUUAUUUUUGUGAUCCAUGAUAAAAACUCCAAUAGAGGUAUCAAUCCAAAAUAACAUCUGUUUAUCUCUGCCAAUCUUAGUUUUAUCUCAUCAUGGUUAUUUUCAUUUUUGUUAAUGUUUACCCCUAUACUUAUUUUAAAUUAUUAACUCUUUAAAAUGUAUAGUCACCAAUAUUUUGGUAUCCCGCUCUAAAGUUAUUACAACUAUAUAUAUAGUAUUUUCCUCAUUUAUUAUUAACCCAAUUUUCUCGUAGUAUCCUUUAGACUAGCUUCAUUUUUUACUAUUACAACCAGAUCAUCUGCAUGUGCAGCCACAAUCUUCAAAAUACCUAUAUAUACUCAAGGUUUUCUUAUUUUUUCUCCUCGCAGAUUAAAUCAUGAGCAACCAUAGACAGGCCAUAGGAUGGGCAUUCCUGUGCCUGAUAGGAACCACGUUGAUGACGCCGGCGUUCACUUAUCCUCAAACCCAGCGAUGGGAAGAACGGUGGGACGAGCGAUCUUCGCAACCACAAACUCAAAACGAGCAACAGCGGCCCGUAUACCAAGCGCAACAAGGACAGUAUCCCGUGUACCAGCAACAGGAGCAGGACGCGAGGAAAUUCGUCGAAAAACCUAAUGCCAGUAAGAAAGUGCAGGCGUCGUCUACCGGAAUCGUAGAAGACCGCAACGACUUAGAAGACGUGCAAACCAAUUCAAUAUCUGUAAGUUGAACAAAAAUAAAAUAAUAAUAAUAAUAUGCAUUCGAAUAUGCCACAAAGUGUGGAAGUAUUAGAUUCUAAAGACAAAUGAGAGUAAAUAUAUAUUAUAAAUGUAGUUUAAGAAACGGUAUUGAGGAAAGGAAAACCGACGAAGAUAUUUAAAGAUGAGUUAAGUGUUGCGGAGAAAGAUACGAAGGCAUGUGGAGUAAACGAACAAAUGUCGAUGGAUAUUUUAGGGAUGAGAUGUGGAAAGCGAUAGUACGAGAGUAUAAUAGCUGACCCCGUUAGCACGGGAUAAAGGCGAAAAGAAAGAUUCAAAUUAUUUAUAUAACUAGGUAACUGUUGUUAUUAUAUGUAAAAAAUGACAUCUAUUUUUAUUUUUUUUCAAAUUUUAGCAAGAAGGCGCCGGUGGCGGUUUCUCGUGGAGUAGCGUUUUGGGAAUGAUCAUGCAAAUGUUGUUUAAUCCCGCAAGUGCGGCAGUCGGACCAAGCAAAUCCGACGUAUUAGACGGCGACCAGGUUUGUUAUACAGAUUUUAGAUUCUGAGUAGAGCGAAUAGUUUUUUAAUUAUAUAAAAUAUAAUAUAAUUUUCCCUCUACUACCUUCCCAACUUCUCAUCUACAACAGAAGUCCACCCACGUGCGAAGUUGCCUAAACUUUAGAUUCUGAAUGUAGCAAAUAAUGUAUUGGUUUUACUAAGAUAUUCUUUUUUUUCUAUUCUGUGUACAAAAAUUCGAUCAGACAUUUUUCUUAGAUAUUUACGCGUAGCCCCAUUUCCGAAAGGGAAUAUUGUCCAGAUGGUUCUUUUAGGAGGUCAUUUUUUGAUUUUCCAUGCGGUUUUCAUAAUAUCUAGGAAAAACCAGGAUAAAACAUAAGAAAAACGGGAAAUUUACAAAAAUAAUGCUUUUAUUAUUUUUUAAUUUUGUUAUUUGUUGUAAUUCAGUUAAAAAUAUUAGUAAAAAAUUGAAGUUUAAACAGAAAACUUGUAUUUGCCUUUUCUAGACGUGCUAAAAUUUUCAAAAAAUGUAAACAAUUUUUUUUAGCUAUUUAUAGACAUUUUAAUUUUGCGAGUUUUGUAUGUGAUUUUUAUUUCUACUCUGUGGUAAAAUUGUUGGACUUAAUAAAAAUGCUUGAAAACUUAAAAGGAAGUUCAUUAAGAGUCUUACUUUGUGGUCAAAAAAAUAAAAUUUGAGUUUAAUGUAGUAUCUUUUUUAUAAGGGAAUUUCAAUGUCAAAUUUUGACGAAAAUUGUCGAGUAAAAAAUUAUAUGGAACAAACCUAAUUUUUCAAUUUUUUUUUUUUUUGAACACAUGUAUAUUGUCAAUUUAAGAACGAUGGUGAAGUCAGAUUGAGCGGACUAAGUUUCGAAAUUAUAGCUUUUUCAAGUUCUGAUAUUAUGUGGGUAUUGUAUGUUAUGUUAAAAUAACUAAAUAUUGUCUUCUCUAUGGUAUGUUUGUGGUAACUGAAUAGUUAUACAUACCUAUUUACAUCCUAGAAUUUACGAGUUCGAACCCGUGUUUCAAAAGAAAAUUGUUUGAAUUUUUUUCCUUUUUAUUUAAACGAGGAAAAACAAAUGCAUUUUUGAUGUACCUAUAGGCCAAAGACAUCACUCACUCAAACUAUUUUAAUCACAAAAUACCCCUCGAUUUGUUGUGCAAACUUUUCUUCCAAAAAUCUUGCUCCGAUAUUUUAAGUGUAACUUAUUUUCUACAAGAAAAUUUAAUCUCUAGGGUAACUUGGAGAGGUUAUUUUUUUAAUUUUGAGUAGUUCUCGCAAUAAAUGGAAAAAAAAUCGUGACAAACGGAAUAAAACGGAAAAAUGUAAAAAAUAUAUUAGUAAAAUAUUAUAUUUUUUUUUUUCUAUAGACAACUUUUCUACCAGAAAUUUUGCUCCAAUUUACAAUGAUAGUACUUUUUCUAAAAAUAAAUCUGAUUGGGGAGGUACUUUAGAGAGGACAUUUUUCAAUUAACUCAGGAGUUUUCUCAGCAAAUGUGAAAAACUGGGAAAAUAUAUAAGACAUCUUUUUUUAUAAUGAAAAUACUGUAUUUAUAUAAACGUGAUUAUUAUAAUAUAGUAUAACCACCGAUGAACGGAUUUUAAUUUUAUAGGCUAUCGCUCCGACAUCACCUUGGGCCAAUCUGUUGUCCGUAGGUCUGAAAAUUUUAACUGCGUUUUUGGGCGGCGGCAACGUAGCCGGAGACGGAAUCGACAAAGUGGAUAAUUCUUCGCCUAUGCAGGUAAUAUUGUAACACACAGCAGUAAUGAAGAAUAUAUAUAUUAUAAAUUUUAUAAUAUUAUUAUUAAUAAAAGACGGUUCAAUUAAAAGAAAAAAAAUGUAUUUCAAAUAUUUAGACGAAAACAACGAUUAAUUUUAAUAUUAUUUUUUUUUUUUCGACAAUUAUUAUCGAGGAAACAACAAACACACGCAGUUUUUCGUUGAACCGUCUUUAAAGAAAAAUGUAUAAAUCAAAUUCGGACCGGGGAUAUCGUAGCUAGUGUUCGUAGAGAAUUUAAAUGCACCUUCUAUAAUCUGUCACUGUUUUUUAACAGUAUGUACAUAGUACAACAGUAGUAUUAACUACAUGUAGUAGUUUUCUACUGCAUGUAUAGUAAAGGUAUGAAGUAAAUGUAUGAAGCUUCGUGAAUCGUGAUGCGGUUUAUAAAGUAUUAAGCGAAUUGCGAUACAUCCGAAACGUCUAAUUUCCCUUUAUAAUACAGUGUCCUACAGUAUAAUCUGAAUACUAAUGACGCUAUAUUCAUUUUUUUACAUUUUACAAAUAUAGUCGAAAUUAAAUUUUUAUUUUCAUCCCUUAAUCGCUAAAAAUUUUUUUUUAAAUUUAAAAAAUAACAAUUUUGUAAAAUAUAUUUUCUAAAAAUCUGAAUGUAUCAUACAUUUAUACAUAUCAACUAUUGAUUGAAUAUGAAUGUAUAUUCAUAUUCAAUCAAUAGUUUUUUAGUACCAGCCGUUUUAAUUUCUAACAUAAAUGUUUUAUUGCCUUGUAUUACGAUUUACGACUAUGAUUCGCUAUCACGUAACGUGGUAGGUUCGUUUUCCACACCUUUCUCUAGAUAUCAAACUAGCUUUUUUCAGUGGUUAAGGAAUGAUGAAAAUAUAAAUUUAAGAUUUCUCUAUAUUUCACCCCCCCCCCGACAUAAAACCCGAUUGAAAAACAAAAUUAAUAUUAACCGAGUUAUUAGCAUUUGGAUAGCACUGUAGGACACCCAGAAUUAUUCACGCAAUCAUUAUUUGUUAACUACCCCUAUAUUUACAUUAGUUAAAUAUUAUCAUCGUUAAAUGUUUCAAGAUUUUUAUCACACGCGAAUUUAUAAUACAUUUUUACCCCCAACGACGGUAUAAAAUAUAUUUGCUUAUUACUUUAAACGUUUCGGUUAUAUCUUAUUAUUAUAUAUAUAAUUAUGGCUUCUUUUUUUUUCUUUUUUUUUUUUAAGGAAAAAAUUUAUAUAAAUACACUUGUUUGCUUGUCUGUUCUGUAUAGUGUAGUUUUGAUUUGUUUUGUUUAUUAGGAACACUUAUAUAGCCAUUAUAACGUGUACAUAUAAUAUUAUAUUUAUCGAGUGAAUAAUAUUACUACGUCCGACGAUAUUCCAUUCACUUACCAAUAAACUCUAAUCGAAUGCGAACAAAUUCGGUAACGUCCCCGGUCCCCAAGAUCAACAACCAGUGGCGUAUUUACACGAGGAGUGUUCCGGUUUCUCCAAUUUAUGUUUAAAAAAUAAACCAUCGUAAUAUUAUAAUUUUAUCUGUGUUAAGUGAAUUCAUUUGAAAAACUCCGCGUAAACGUAUAACAUAUCAUAAUAAUAAUAAUGGAGACGAUAAACUAUUUUUCUCAAAGCGCAGAUGUUUCACACACUUCCCUUCGUAUAAAAGAAAAUCCGUAAAUACGUCACUGUAUGACACAAAAAUUAAGCUUUUCUUCUUUCUUUUUUUUUUUUUUUUUUUACAAAUAUAUUUAUUAUAUUUAAUAAACCGGUGUAUGGUGGCACGGUACGUAGGGUGUAUUGGCGGCGGUCUUAUCUACGGUACUCGGCAGCAGAGAUCCCGAUCAAGUGGCCACCAUGGCCAAACAGGCCGGAGAGGUAAGAUACCUGCAAACACACGCACUGCACUAUAUAUUAAAUAUCUAAUCAUAUUAUUUAAUGAUGUGACAUAAAUUCGGAUUCACAUAAAACUCGUAAAAAAUCGGAUUUCAUCAGACGACGAAAUCUCAAAAUAUUUUUUUAUUUUCUAUAUUUUUACUUAUAUGGAUUUUUUAGGAUUAAGAUUUCUGUUAUUUAAUAAAUCUUAAAAAUUCGUUUUUUUUUUUUUUUUUUUAUAAAAUGUAUUUCAUACAAUGAUUAUAUUUUUUGAAUUAAGCAUACAAAUAUUAGAAUUAUGUAUUGAUAUACAACUAUAAAAACAUACUAUUAAAAAAAAAAAGUAUCAUAAAAAUCGUCCAAAAUUUCAAAAUUCAAUAUCCGGAUUUACUACAGUAUAAAUUGUUCAGAUUUCAGUCAUUCCGGAUUUUUUCCUUCACUAACGCACACACACACACACGCACACGACUGCUUUAACUAACAUAUAAAACCUAAUAUUUUGAAGUACCGACGAUAAAUCUCGUCGUAUUUAAUACGAAUACGUUUUUUUUUUUUUUUAACGAAUGUUUCCGUGUGGUAUUUACAGUUCAUCAACAUCGUCGUCAACCUCUUGGACGCCCUCAAGACGUCUUUCAGCCACAGGUCCAUGUCAGCCAGAUCGAUGGGCAAAAAGGACACCAUGUCCGACGCUGCCGUGGCCAGUUUGUCAAUUUUCAAGGUAACACAAAUGAUAAUAAAUAAUAAUGUCAUAAUAAUAUUAUUUUUAAAUUUUAAAUUUUUCAUAAACACCAUUAAAAAAAAUAACGAGUUUUAAAUAUAUACCAUAAAUAUAUAAAUUAAAAUAUAGGAAAAAUUUGUUUGACCGAGCCAGUUACAUAGUAAUAGAGGGGGAAAUUUAGGUGUUUUUUCCCUUCCUUGCUUUUUUUGUCAAUUUGCUUGGGGUGGUAAUUUGGAGAGAUUAUUUUAUGAUUUUCCCAGGAGUUUUCAAAAUAAAUAGGAAAAACCGGUAAACAAAGUAGAAAAAAUGGGAAAGGUUAUCGUACAUAUUACGGUCUUUCAAAACCUGUACUCAGCUCAGAAACGUUUUUUGCUAGCAAUGCUUAAUCAUUACGUACAAAAUACACAUUAAAUUUCCUCUCUCCCUUUCCAACUUCUCACCUAUAACAGAGGCCAAUCAUGCGAAAAAUGUCCGUUUUUAAAAUUUAAACUUUAAAUAUUUUCAAUUGUACACUAAGAAUAUAGUUCGUUAUUAAACUUAAUGAUAAUAUUCAUCCAGCAUGAACUGGAGUCCGAUAUACCUUUUUGACAUAAUAUACCUAAGAUAUAUAAAACCUUUUAUAUUUGUAAUUACUCUACCCUGCUUGAAAUUCUUCGAGAAAAUCGAUGGGAAAUAAUAAUAAUACAGAAAGUAUCAUAUUGCCUAUUACUAUUUUAGGGAGCAAGUUGGAAUGGAAAAUGUAAAGUAAUUUAAUCUAAAGGAAAUGAUAAAUCAUUUAUUCUGAACAGAGUAUUAUUAAUCGUAGUUUUUCCUUUGUUUUCAAAGUAUCCUACAAAUUAACAAAAAUUACACCAAAGUUUUUUCCUACUUAUUAAAAUUACUAGAAAAAUCAAAAAAUGUUACAAAAAAAUUCUUAUAAAGUUUUUAAUUGAAGCAAGAUUUCUGGAAGAAAAGUGAUUUACAGACUCUAACAAAAAAAAAAACCGCUUAAUAGUAAAACGAAUAUAUUCUUCGCGUAACUUAUAAUCAAAAACUAUACCCCUAAAUAGGUAAGUAGAGAAGAAAAGAAAUAAAACAAUAAUUUCUAUUUGACGAGCAACAACGUUUCGAUAUUAUAAUAUCAUGUAAUAUAGUUAAGUACCUACGUUUUCAUAAUGCCGUAGUGUAAGCGUUUGGAGUUAUAAAAAAAAAACAAAAACAAUGCAUACUGCAGAAGUAUAUUAAGAAUAUUAUACUAUUGCUACAGGUAUUUAUAUACGGAACCAGAAUAAAAUUAGAAAAUACUCGAAAACAAAAUAUAUAUUAUAUGUUAUACAAAUAUAAAGAGAACGCGUCUCGAAGAAUACAAUAAUGUGGUUAAUUAUUGUGUUACUUAUGCUGCAGACAUAAUAGCGGACAAAUAGCCAAACGCACUUAUACCAUGAUAAUAACGUUGUAUAUAUUGUGUAAAUACUUAUAUAUAUACUACAUACAUGGGUGGUAGUACAAAUAAUAUGGUCGUGAAAACAAUUGAAAGGAAGUAGACCAAAAAGAGAAAGAGAGUGAAAUUAUAUUGCGAAGAGUACACCCAAGCCAAAUAGUGAAAAAAAACAGGAAAGGCAAGGUCAUGAAGUAAUGAAAUUUUAUCGAAAAAAAAACCCCGUUUAUUCGUAGAUAUGCACACUUUCAAUACCUACUAUACUUAUGUUUACCUUAAUGGACAGCAUACAAAUCAUACACAUUAAUAUGUCUAUAAUAGAAACACCAUCACAAUAUUAUUAUUAUAUUUGUUCACUGCAAUGAAUUAAACUCGAGCAUUCUUACUGAAAAUAUUAUCAUUAGGAGAUUUUGUUUUAAUAAAACUAUCGAAAUUUGUUUAUAAAUUUUGAUCCGAUUUAUGAUAACAAUUUUUCUAAAAGGAAAUCUGACUGGAAAGGUACUUGAGAUAAGUUAUUUUUCAAUUUUCCUAGUUUUCCCAACAAAUUAGAAAAACUGGGAAAACCGUGAAAAAAAACGGGAAAAUAGGUACAAUAUUAAACAAAUAUUAUUAAAGAAAAUAUAUAAUGCCUAUGUCAUAAUUUGACCAUAAUAUGGCAUAUAUAUUGUUGAUAAAGCAACUAAACUAUCAACUGAACUCCACUCAGAAUCGUUUUUUCGUUAGCAAUAGUUUAUCGUUGGCUUAAAUAGAUACAUUCAAUAGCGUUUUUCGUUUUCAGUCAUUAUGCACAACGUCAACAUUUUUGUAUUUAACAACAAUUUUUUAAAUAGCUAACGAUUGUUGUAACUAAACUAUCAGUUUAAGUUUUUCCUUAAACCGUUGGUACUACCAUAGAAAAGAGUCCUUUUUAUUUAUAUUUCUAUAUUUAUUUAAUUCUAUAAUUCCCUAGGUUAUAAUUCUCAUUAAAAUUUCCCCAUAAUAAAUAGAAAUUACCUUUAAAAAUUCAUUAUCACAGUUACGCUCUCAUUUUCAAGUAUAUGUUUACCUACUUAGGUACCUAUUAAAUAUUGAAAAGGAAAAAAAAAUAAAGAGUUAAAGGACUUGAAUGCAGAAAAUUGUUUAGUUACAUGUUAUACAAUGUUAAUCAUGCUCUAGUAAAAAUAUUAUCUACUAAAAAAAAUUACAAAUAUUUAUUAACCUUAAUAAGUUUUCAUUGUAUUUUUUUUUUAUAGGGAUACAUGAAGACGAUGAACACUGCCAAUGACGUUUGCGCUCAGAAGUUUGUAUGCGAAGCUAACAAGGAAUGUGCGGGCGAAACAUCAAGUUCUAGUGCCAUAUAUUGUCAACUUGGAACGUGAGUACAAAAAUUCAAUAUUUUUGAAUUUGAAAUAUUAAUAAAAUACUAGAAAAUUUAAAAAAUGAAAUUUUGAGUCAGUAUACAAAUAUAAUUCUACGCUAUCAGCCUAUUUAUCUAAAUGCACAAGAAUAAUAGCAAUAGACACUACUCAAAGAACAUGAUUUUUAUUAUAGUAAUUUAACAUAUUUUACUUAAAGUACUUUUGUAUAAAAUUUCUACAUUAGGUAAUUUACAGAGCUACUCAAAAAAAAAAAAAAAAACAAACAUAUAGUUUGACAAGAAAUCUAAAUUCCACUAAAUUUUUAAUUUUUGCUCCAAAUUCAAUUUUAUUGGCCAAAAUAAAAGUAAUAUUAUAAUAUUGUGAGAAGGUACUAUGAAAAAAAUAAGGAGCGUGUUAACUAAAAAAUAUGUAUAGGAAUCUAAAUUCUAAAACUGUAAUUGAUAGUAUUGAUACAAUAUCAACCUGAAAAAUUAAAAUUAAAUGUCCCAUGUCAAUUUUUUAUUAUUUUUACCUUUAUUCCGGUUUUGAUUUGCUUGUAUUUAUAUAUUGAACGAAAAAAAAUAGGUGAAGAGUGGGUAGUAUUUCAUUUCAUCAAUGUUACUAAGGUGAUGCAACAAAGUAACUCAUUACUUGUUACUUUUUUUGUAUCAAAAAUAACUAAAAACCUUUCAUUCUCUUCAAGUUUUAUUUUCACUACAAAAUUAGACUAUGUUUUUCAUCAAGGUCCAGUCUAUUUCUAUAGAUACCAAAAUUUAUCAAAAUCAGCAGUUUAGGCAUGAAAACAUAACAGGCAGACUUACUUUUACAUUUAUAAUAUUAGUUAGAAUUAGGAUUAUAUCAUUAUAUCAUUAUAAAUGAAAAAAAAAACUAACACUAAUUAUUUGUUUAAAAUUCUAGAUACGCCACAAGUUUCAUGCUACAGAGAACGGGAACCGCACCUUUCGAAGUAUACUAUGAUGCAGGCAGACGUGGACGGUCCGGAGACGACUGCCGUCAACUUUACUUGGCCUGUAACGAAGUCUAGGAAAAAUAUUUAUCACCUUCAGCACAAAUUAUUAUAACAGUGUUUCUGCUCAACAUAAAUCUUACACCUAUCUCAUUGCCUGCAGUUUCAUCAUUAUUUUAUGAUUCAUAUACUAUUAUGAAGUAUUUUGCUCUCCUUCGAUUAAUUCGGCCUGGUUUUUAAAAACAAAGAUCUCGUCUCCAACCAUUUAAACAUGUAUACAAAAUAGAUCCGCACAAUAUAUAUAUAUAUACAUAUAUUUUAUUUCUGAAUACUUUAUACUUUAUUAUAUAUUUAUUCCUAUUGUUUGUAUAACAAUACACUUUGUACCAUAGUAGUCUGACCUAUUUAAUUAUGUAUAUUUUUUAAUUAUUUAUACUUUAUUUAUAUUAAUUUAUUUUUUUUUUUUUUUUUAAAUAAAUUAUCAUAGGGAUUACUUUUAA